rnacentral:rRNA from 1 species
AAUCAACGCUGGCGGCGUGCCUCAGACAUGCAAGUCGAACGAUUAAGACUUCCUUCGGGAAGUGCAUAAAGUGGCGCACGGGUGAGUAACACGUAAGUAAUCUACCCUCGAGUGGGGAAUAACGUUCGGAAACGAACGAUAAUACCGCAUAACGCAGCGGCACCGCAAGGUGACAGUUGUUAAAGGAGCAAUCCGCUUGAGGAGGAGCUUGCGGCAGAUUAGCUAGUUGGUAAGGUAAUGGCUUACCAAGGCUACGAUCUGUAUCCGGUCUAAUAGGACGGUCGGACACACUGACACUUAAUAACGGGUCAGACUCCUACGGGAGGCAGCAGUCGGGAAUUUUGGGCAAUGGGCGAAAGCCUGACCCAGCAACGCCGCGUGAAGGAUGAAGUAUUUCGGUAUGUAAACUUCGAAAGAAUGGGAAGAAUAAAUGACGGUACCAUUUAUAAGCUCCGGCUAACUACGUGCCAGCAGCCGCCGUAACAC